rnacentral:rRNA from 1 species
AUUGAACGCUGGCGGCAGGCCUAACACAUGCAAGUCGAACGGUAGCACAGAGAGCUUGCUCUUGGGUGACGAGUGGCGGACGGGUGAGUAAUGUCUGGGAAACUGCCCGAUGGAGGGGGAUAACUACUGGAAACGGUAGCUAAUACCGCAUAACGUCUUCGGACCAAAGUGGGGGACCUUCGGGCCUCACACCAUCGGAUGUGCCCAGAUGGGAUUAGCUAGUAGGUGGGGUAAAGGCUCACCUAGGCGACGAUCCCUAGCUGGUCUGAGAGGAUGACCAGACACACUGGAACUGAGACACGGUCCAGACUCCUACGGGAGGCAGCGGUGGGGAAUAUUGCACAAUGGGCGCAAGCCUGAUGCAGCCAUGCGGCGUGUAUGAAGAAGGCCUUCGGGUUGUAAGGUACUUUCAGCGGGGAGGAAGGCGUUAAGGUUAAUAACCUUGGCGAUUGACGUUACCCGCAGAAGAAGCACCGGCUAACUCCGUGCCAGCAGCCGCGGUAA